rnacentral:lncRNA from 1 species
GUGGGACUUUGACCAUUUUUUCACAGAUAUGUUUUUGCUAUCAUGUUUAUGUGGCUCUGAUGAGGAUAUUUGUUCCCUGACCAUAAAAUAAAGCUUGUUCAGCACUGACCUUAACUCCUCCUUCUUUGCUAUGUUUCCAGGUUCCAAAGAACACCCCACUUUCCAAGCAUUUGGUUCUGUCAUAUUUACACAUAAAAGCUGACCAUGACCACCGUAAAUGCCCGUGUGUCUCCUUGCUCGGAAUGAGUUUUAUCGGAGCAUCUGCCCGACAGACAAAAUGAAGGCAGUUAAUAGUCUUUCUGAUAACUUAAUGGAACCAAAGCAAAGACAAGUGACUGUCUGGGUGACCAAAUCCAAGCACCAAGAUUUAGGGCCAAUGAGCGAUGGUUGGACAAUAAAUGUGGUUUUAAAGAGACCGACAUCCAGGGGAACCUCUUCCAAACGGCAAAGCCUUGCUGAUCGUGAGGUGAAGUAGACACCUGCACAAGAGUAGUGUAUGAGUAUGUGAAUGUGCUGUUUAAAAGUGCUGCUCCAAUAAUAGGCUUCUAGUUUUUUUUUUAAUUCAAGUGCAUAGGAUUGUAAGGAUUUUUAGUAUUAUUUUUCUGCCGUAAAACUGAUCGUGCAGACCAAACAGUAAGGCCUAGAGAUGUGAAACUUGGCCAGAUGGUAGAGCUCAAUUUGGGAAGAGACUGGCAAAGACUCACCCCAAUGCUAAAUAAUUGCAAAAUAAUACGUAAUGUCUUUUUUCAUGUGUUUAAAUGCCUUAAAGUGCCACGUUUUUUUUUUUUUUUUUUUACUUGGUUACUUGCAGCAUUGUUUAGAGAUCUAUAGGUCUUUUAAUGCUAGAGAAGGACAAAUUAUUUUUAGUUUAUACACUACCAUUCAGAAGUUUGGGGUUAUCAAGUCUCUUAUGUUCACCAGGGCAGCAUUAGCUUGAUUAAAAAUAUAGUAAAAACAAGAACAUUGUAAAAUAUUAUUACAGUUUAAAAGAAGUUUGCUCUGUUUGAAUAUAUCUUCAAAUAUAAUUUAUUUCUGUGAUGCAAAGCUGAAUUUUCAGCAUCAU